rnacentral:rRNA from 1 species
UAAUACGUAGGGUGCGAGCGUUAAUCGGAAUUACUGGGCGUAAAGCGUGCGCAGGCGGUUUGUUAAGUCAGAUGUGAAAGCCCCGGGCUUAACCUGGGAACGGCAUUUGAAACUGGCAGGCUGGAGUGCGGCAGAGGGGGGUGGAAUUCCACGUGUAGCAGUGAAAUGCGUAGAGAUGUGGAGGAACACCGAUGGCGAAGGCAGCCCCCUGGGCCGACACUGACGCUCAGGCACGAAAGCGUGGGGAGCAAACAGGAUUAGAUACCCUGGUAGUCCACGCCCUAAACGAUGUCAACUGGGUGUUGGGGAAGCGAUUCCUUGGUACCGUAGCUAACGCGUGAAGUUGACCGCCUGGGGAGUACGGCCGCAAGGUUA